GGGCUGACUAGCAUUCAAGAGCUUUUGGUUUAAAAGAUCAAAACAUCCCAGCAGUGUUGAUCAGUGACAAUUCUAUUACCAUAUAAGGUUUCCCAAAUCCUUACCCAGCUUAGUUCUCUUGGGAAGCUCUUAAUUGUUCCUAUUUUCUAGGAAGUUAUCAAAGAUAACAAUCUCAUAUGGAAUUACCAACCCCCUGUGUAAGAAUGAGA
rnacentral:lncRNA from 1 species